GCAAACUUGGUCAUUUAGAGGAAGUAAAAGUCGUAACAAGGUUUCCGUAGGUAAGUUAUCACCCAAUAUCCUCGCUGUUGGUGGGAACCGUCACUAAUAUCUCGUCCAGGUGAACCUGCGGAAGGAUCAUUACAGUGUUCAGGCUUCGGCCUCAUUCACACCCCUUGUUGAACCUCUGGUUUCUUUGGCGAUGUCCUGGACGCGUCAAACUUUAACUCUGAUAAUGUGGUACUGUCCGAGUGAGAUUGAAUUAUCAAAACUUUCAACAACGGAUCUCUUGGUUCCAGCAUCGAUGAAGAACGCAGC
rnacentral:misc_RNA from 1 species